GCGACUUGCGGUGCCGCAGCGCCCCCUCACGGCCAUUGCGGGAAGCGGCGAGGGGUGAGGUGCAAGCCUAGGUUUCUUUGAACCAAGGCCGCUGGAAAACUGAGGCCCAGAAAUGUACGCUGUUCCAAUUGUUACGCUGGCAAUUGUGAUAACACAGUCGGACUUAGAGCUUCCUGGCCUACUCAGCCCUAAUGAGGGGUGAGGUGGCGGGUCCCAUGCCAGGUGAGCAGUUGACUCUUUGCAAAGAGUCAUGCUAAUCGCCCCCACAGUGGACUCUCAGGUGAAAAGGGGCGAAAAGUCCCAUUUUUCAAAAGCUCACAGAUGUGCUAUGCAGCCUAGUUAAGCGGAGUCCUCAGAUCCAUGAUAGAGGAUGGAGAGAGAUCUUCGGAGCCUGGCACAACUGGACCUAAGUCGUGAUUGCUGGCAGCCACCACCAACUGCCUAAUCUCUCUGAAGUUCCCUAAAGGCCUGUACCACUGCCACACUAGAGACAAUACAGCACAGCAGUAUGAAGCCUGGGCUCUGGGGCCUAACCGCCGAGGAUCAAAUCCCAGCUCUCAGUGUAACUUCUUUGUGCAUCAUUUCCUUAAACGAUCUGCCACAUAAGGCUUCUGUGCAGAUGAAAUGUAUUAAAACACAUGCUAUGCUUUUGAGAGCCAGCUGCAGAGAAAGCACUUAACAAACAGUAAGUAAUGCCAAUGAUAAUAAAUAACACUUACUAAACACUA